CUGACACCCUUCAUAAUUAUCCCCACUAUCACUCCCCCUUAGCCCACCCUCAUCCAUCCAACUCUAUCUCUCUCUUCCCCUAACCCACCAUACCCUUCAUAGAUCGUACUCCCCUCAACCCACCCACAUCCAUCCGACUCUCUCUCUCUCUCUCUCUCUCUCCCUCUCCCCUUAACCCACACACAUCCUUCAUAUUUAUCUCUUUGAUAUUUCCUUAUUUUUAGUUCUGGCUCUUCCCUCUCUGCUCUCUCUAAAACGACCAAGCCGGACUCGCCGGCCAAGUUUCGGCCAAAACUAGGUCUCGACCCAAUAGAGAAAACUGAUCCUCUCAUGGUGAGCUUCCUAUCCAUAUUUGGUUAGUGGUUUUGUUUGGGAGAUUGAAUUCAAGCUGAACUGUAAGAAAGUGGUUCAAAUUCUUGGAUUUAGGAGAGCUGUGGUUUUGACAAUUAGGGCAAAUAAACGUCACUUAUGAAGAGGAUGAUUGCACCAUCCACCAAGUUGGAAAAAGAGGUGAAUCUUUGAUAUGGCAGAUCUGGAACUUUUACGUAUUGAUUUUAACCAACUCCUUUUUAGGUGUAAUUUUGGACUUAUUUUGUUUUGAAGUCGACUAUAUUUGUUUUGGCUUCUGAUGAGGUGCAAGGCUUGCUGGGGAAGAUGCAUUUGUCCAAAAAUGUCUGCUUUCAAGUUCUUUUGCAUUAGAGAUGAAAUAUGUAACAUUACAAUAUAUGUUUCUGAGAUUGAGAAUGUGUUGUAGGCUUUCUACAUUUUAUGAAAAUUAAAAAAAAAUAAUAAUAAUUACCUCAA